GCUCACCUGGCCGAGCAGUGCACAGACACAAACCCUCCCUGCUCCCUCACACAGCCCCUGUUUGCACCCUGGGAAACUGCAGCACCAAAGGGGAGCUGAGGGGCUCCAGGACAUCACAAACACACGUCCCACAACAGAGGAGCCAGGGUUUGCUUUCUUUGUGAAGGUGCUUUAAUAUCAGGAUGCCAUUGGGAGGCGACUCCAGAGCUCCCAGCAGACACAAGUCUGCACUAAAACCCCUGGAAGAACAAUCUAUGGGCUCCAAAACCUAUUCUGAUGAGCUGGAGAGCCUGGCAUGCUGUGUGAGGUAGUGAGGGGCACUCAGGCCAGGGCUGGGGAUCCUGGGGCCACAUCAGCCUGGUUGUGCCAGUCCAUGGAAGUCUGUGACUGUGACCCCAACACCUGGAAAGCCUCCUGCCUGCCACCAAAAUGGAAAAUGUUGUCCCUGUCUCCACUUACUGAACUACAGCACCUUGGAGGGACUUCAGUGCAAAUCACCACCCCAGGACCCUUUGCUGCAGGGGACAAUCCUUCAGCAUAAAGCAGAGAUCUCAGCUGCUGUUUUUGACUCCAGCUCAUGGACCCUCUGUCCCUGCACAAGCUCAAGGACUCGAGAGUUGUCCCACUGAACCAGCAUAAAUCUUGCUUUACUAAGUGGGAGUGAGAGACCAAAGGACACUGAGGGUGAUGGAGAGCAGAGACCCAAGUGUGCAGAGACACCCAGCACCAGGCAGCAGCUUGGGAAGGAGGCAGAGCCCUGGGACCUGCAAGCAGAAGAGCAGAUCAGCUUCAGGACUGUCCUGCAU